CGUUUUCCUCGAUCAAGAGCGAAAGUCGGAGGUUCGAAGACGAUCAGAUACCGUCGUAGUUCCGACCGUAAACGAUGCCGACUGGCGCUCCGCCGGCGUUCGCUUCGAUGACCCGGCGGGGAGCCUGCGCGGGAAACCAUAGUCGGUUCCGGGGGGAGUAUGGUUGCAAAACAGAAACUUAAAGGAAUUGACGGAAGGGCACCACCAGGAGUGGAGCCUGCGGCUUAAUUUGACCCAACACGGGAAAACUCACCCGGUCCGGACACCGGUAGGAUUGACAGAUCGAUAGCUCUUUCUCGAUUCGGUGGGUGGUGGUGCAUGGCCGUUCUUAGUUGGUGGAGCGAUCCGUCUGGUUGAUUCCGAUAACGAACGAGACUCCGGCCUGCUAACUAGCGCGUCGAUUAGUGCUUUUCCGGUAGCGU
rnacentral:rRNA from 1 species